AGCGAACGCUGGCGGCAGGCCUAACACAUGCAAGUCGAACGAAGUCUUCGGACUUAGUGGCGGACGGGUGAGUAACAUGUGGGAACGUACCUUUUGGUUCGGAACAACUCAGGGAAACUUGAGCUAAUACCGGAUGAGCCCUUAGGGGGAAAGAUUUAUCGCCGAAAGAGCGGCCCGCGUUAGAUAAGCUAGUUGGUGAGGUAAAGGCUCACCAAGGCUACGAUCUAUAGCUGGUCGGAGAGGAUGAUCAGCCACACUGGGACUGAGACACGGCCCAGACUCCUACGGGAGGCAGCAGUGGGGAAUCUUGCGCAAUGGGCUAAAGCCUGACGCAGCCAUGCCGCGUGAAUGAUGAAGGUCUUAGGAUUGUAAAAUUCUUUUACCAGGGACGAUAAUGACGGUACCUGGAGAAAAAGCCCCGGCUAACUUCGUGCCAGCCGCCGCGGUAAUAC
rnacentral:rRNA from 1 species